rnacentral:lncRNA from 1 species
UACAUUUACACUAGCUAGUAGCUAGGGAUUCUUGAACAUUUACAUUCUGCAUUAUUUUUUUAACGACCAUAAAUAUUGUUAUUUGAACCGUGGGCAUGCGGAUGAAAAUGGGGGGAAAUGGAAGAAGUGGAGUUGAAGUAGUAUUUAAGCUCUGCAUUUGAGGCUGUAAUUAUAUAGAAGUUUUCUUCCCUAAGGUUAACCUUUUGUUCUUGGGAAUAUUUGAUGAACUGUGAUUUGUGUCUUUGAUUGAACAUGUGUCAGAUUUAUGUAAUUGGCACUUCUAUAAAGAAAAAUACUGAAAUAAAUAUGACGUAAAAAGUUAGGGAGUUAGGUGCAAUAUUGUAUAGUUGAGUUAGGUAAACUAGGGUUUAAGUUCGAAAUAAGGAAAAAAGAGAUGCCCCAAUUUCGCUAGCCUAUUGCUUAGACGUUGUUCAAGUGACAAAAACAAAAAUCCCGUCGCUCACUUGUUGCCCGUCUUUCGCUCGAGCGACAAAUCGUCACUUGCAUGUCACUAGCUCCUCGCUUGAGCAAUAGUGUUAAGCGUAGAACCCUACUUCGCGUUUUUGUAGAGUUUUACAUGGUCCAAACUACCUAAUUGCCAUCAACUAUAAAUACCUAAUGCCUUGCACGAAAAUUAGUGGUGGUUGUUCAUUGCGCUUCUUCUCUAUAACACAUUGAUAAUAUUCUUUGAAGAUUCAAGAGCUUGUUCCUAUAUUGAUUCAAUCUACUUACUCUUGAGAUUAUACAACCACAGAUUGGGGAAUAACAUCAAAUACAUUGAAUCCAAAACUCCUACUUCCAAAACACCCUUAGGAAGGUACUUUCUCAAUUGAAUUUCAGAGGCUGCUGAAUAUUGAGAGAGGUUGGACUACAAACGCAGGAAGAGUACAAGAAUUGGUCAUUCUUGAUGAAAAGACAAUUUUGGAGAUCAUGAGCUGAUGGCUUUAGCAAGAUCUUGGAGGUUACAGGAAGUAGAUCGAAAAGUAUAAUGGAGUUAGCUAGACAGCAUCUAACUACAAAUCCAUAUUGUCUAUAGUGGAGAUGAUUGGUUUGGCCUCAGAGUUUUUAUCUAGUUGGGUUUCUUCAUCAACAUAUUUGGUGUUAUUUACUGCUUUCAACAAUUCAACUUAGGAUAAUUGAAUUGUUUGAUUAACCAUCUAGAAACAAUUUAAAAGUUAUUCGUUGCUUUUAAUUGUGUUAAUUCCACACGUAAGGUCAAGUUUAAUCGACUAAGUAAGAGUUUUCAAGUGGUAUCAGAGCCUAACUUCAUAUCCUGACCUUAAUUUGUCUAGAUGAGUAGUUCAUUGACUGUUCCGCCAUAGUUUGAUGGUAGCAAUUAUGCCUAUUAGAACGAUAGAACGAGAGCUUUUUUAAAAUCAAUGGAUGAGCGUAUAUGGUUAAGUGUUGUAAAUGGUUGGGUUGCCCCUUCUAGCACCAUUAAUAAUGUUGUCACUCUCACUCCUAUAGAAAACUGGUCAAAGGCUAACUAAGAUGAAUGCAAUUGGAACAAUAAGGCUUUGUAUGCUUUAUUUAUGGCUGUCACCUGAAGAACUUAGGAGAAUGUCCAUGUGUGAGGUAGCUAAACAAAUUUAGAAUAUCUUACAGACCACACAUAAGGGAACGCGAGCUGUGAAAAAUUCUAAGUUACAGAUGUUGAUCACUAGGUUUGAAGAAAUCAUGAUGAAAGAGGAUGAGACCUUUGAUGAAUCCUAUGGGAGCCUAAAUGACAUAGUUAAUUCCAGCUUCAAUCUAGGUGAGAUAGAUAGUAAGAAAAAUUCUUAGAUCCUUACCUAAGCGAUUUAGGCCUAAAAUCACGGCUAUUGAGGAGAGUAAGGAUAUAGACUCAAUUAAGGUAAAAGAAAGUUGAUUGGAUCUCUUCAAACUUAUGAACUGGCCUUAGCGAAACCUACAACUGAUAAGUCUUUGGCCUUAAACGCUAAGAGGAAUGGUUGUCGAGAGUCUUCAGAUUCAGAUUUCCCUAAUGAAUAGGAGUUAUUAUACUUUACUAAAAAAUUUUGAAAAAUGUUUAGGAAUAGAAAGAAAUCUCAAGAGAAGCACAGAAGUGGCCUUAGUGAGUCUAGGAAGAAUUCUAAUUCUGUGAGAUGUCAUAAUUUUCAAGGUUUUGGCCAUAUUAGGAGUAAUUGCCCUACCAGUAGAAGAAAUUCGGAUAGGGCUGUGAAUACUACUCUUACUGAUGACAAGUCUAGCUCAGACAAUCAAAGUGAGAAAUCCACUCAUGAGGAAAGUGGGAAAUACAUUACCUUCACUGUAGGAUUAGGAGUGGAUUUGAUAAGGGGAGUGAUAAGGCUGAGGACACAAAUAGUGGUGAAGAAUUAGAAGAAGAUUCAGAUAGUGAGGACGAUAUUCAUGAGGCUUAUGAUAUAAUCUAAGAGAAGAGCAUUAAGAUUCUAAAUACAAAUAAAGCCUUAGGUAAGAAGGUCAAAGAACUCAAGUUGGAGAAAGAAAAAUUGUUAACUUACCUUUAGAAAUCUACCACAACCCUGAAUGAGUUGAAAUCCAUGAAUGUAUCUUUAAAUACUCAGGUUAAGAAUUUCAUAAGUGAGCUUGAGCAGACCUCUAGGAUAGUAGGUGAACUAACCAUUGAAAAUGUUAGAAAUUCAGGUUAAAAAUCUUCUGAGCGAACUAGAGUAUUACAAGUCUCAACUUCUUGCCUUUUCUACUGGUUUUAUGAAGCUAGAUAACAUCCUAGGAAUGGGCAAGCCUAUUGAUAAUAAGGAAGGUCUAGGAUAUAAGGAGAAAUAUCAUAAUAUUGCAAGUACAUCCAAGACCCUACUAAUUACCAGCCUAAACAUGUUCCUAACGCCCAACCCAAAAAUAAGGGAUUUGAAAGACAGAAGCCUACUAAACAGCGUAGGAUUUACCAACCUAGGAAUAGAAAUAAGCGAUCUUAUAACUAUGGCCCUUAUCCCUAUAUGUUAUUUUGGUGAGUUAGGAUACAUAAAGCCUAGGUGUCAUCAAUUUCUGAACAGAAAUAGAACGAAACUUUAAUAGAAAUAAGAAUCAGGAUUAUGUUGAUCAUAUUGACUUCCUUACUAGUCGGUAAGUCAAUUAAUCAAGCUAAUAACACAGAUGAGUGGAAAUAUUCCUAUCACUAAGCAGGUUUGGGUAAAGAAAAGUGAUCUAAAAUAACUUCAAAUAGAUCACGGUGCUCUUAUAGGUAAGAGCUUAUGUUUAAUCGGCUAAGUCAUUGAUUUAUGCAUGCAUUACAUUCGUGUAUCUAUAUUUUCUAGGUAGUUUCAUGCAUGUACAUCAUCAUUAUGUUUGAAUUGGCACAUGCAUAUUUCUUUCAUCUUGUGUGUGAUUUUUUGUUUUGUUUUGUGUACUUGGAGCGUUCAUGUUUAAGAAUAAAAACAACAACAAAAUUGAAAAAUUAAAAAAUGUAAAAAGAAAAGAGAAGGGAACAUGUACUUGCAGAAUGAUAUAUACUAUACUUGAAUGUAUUUAUUGUGAUCAAGUAUGGGUAUAAUUGAUGAGCUGUAGCAUUGUUUCCAUUGUUUGCUUAAGUUAUUAUGGAGUAUUUAGUAUAUGUUUCUUCAUGUACCAUCUAUACUGCAAACACUAUGAUAUUAUUAGUGGGACUCAAUUGCUUGUGUGAGAUUUGGGAUGCCAAUACAUGUUAGCAAGGUGACUUUGAACAUUAAUUGACCUUAUUUAUUGGACCUAAGCUCAACCUUAUUCCCUAUAAUAACAAGCUCAAUUUCUUAUGUUCUUCUUCGAGAGUAAUUAAGCUUGCGAGAUUUCUCAUAGCCCGGUGUCUAUGGUCAACUAACUUGGGUUAAUCGAUCUAAAGCUAGCCACAUGACUCAUCUUAGUCACUUAAUGGGAAAAGACCUGCAUUUAAGAUGCAAAAAUACAAUAAGCUUAAAAAAUAUUGAAAGAUAUGAAAAUUUUAUGCAUGCUCAAAGUCAGGGAGAGAAAAGAAAAAAAUCCAUACAAAAUGGGCUUUUAUUUAAAGGUCUUAAUGUGCUUUAAUGGUUUGACUUUCAUAAGUAGAAGAAUAAACUUAUUGGCAGUGAUAUUUAGCAUGUCCUUCUCUCAAAUUUAAGAUUUGGAGUCCUAUUUACAAAGGAUUGGUGAAACUUUACAGACAUGGGUCACUUAUACAAUUUACUCCAUGUUAACUUGAAUUGGAUAGGUGGGAAGGUUUACUGAUCAUUGAUUAUACUUGCGCAUGCUAUCAAUCGAAUAUUUUAAGUUAUUGUAUAUUGAUGUUAAGAUUUUUUUGAUAUUGAUUCCUUCGUCAUUUGUGACAAAAGAGGGGGGAAAUGAUUAUUUCGACAGGGGAGAAAAUAUAGGAGGAGAAACUGUAUCGUUAUAUCUUUAUACCUUGAGAGAGAAUUGCAUGAAUGUUAGGGAGAGCAAAAUGAAUGAUUGAUUAAAGUUUGCUAUAAGGAGGAGAUUGAUUAGUUUCAUUGCAUUCCAUAUCAUAAUGCAUAGCUAUUUGAGUUUUUGAUGUUUUGUAAGGAGGCACGUGAUCAUUAAUGUUUCAGUUGUUGUUUUGAUUGACAUUAGUAUCACUUCUAAUUCUAGCAUGCUUAUUUAUGAUCAUGUGCCUAUAUUAUUAUAUUUCCUGUAUCACGUGCUUUUACACUUGGUAUUUGAGUUGUCGAUUUUAGGAACAGGUUUAACAAGAAAUGCAAGAAACGGAACUUGGGUAAAUUAGAUUUUUAUGUCUUUACCACAUUGACUCUAAUUGUAUAGUUUUGCCACAGAAUGCCAACGAGGGAGUUUGUUAGGUUUUAUGUAAUUGGCAAUUCUAUGAACAAAAUGACUGAAAUAAAUAUGUUGUAAAAAGUUAGGAGUUAGGUGCAAUAUUUUAUAGUUGAGUUAGGUAGGUCAAGGUUCGAGUUUGAAAUGAGGAAAGAAGAGAUGCCGCAAUUUCGCUAGCCUAUUACCUAGACAUUGCUCAAGCGACAAAAACAGAAAUCCAUUGCUCGCCUAUCGCCCUUCUCACACUCUAGCGACAAACCGUGCUAGCUCCCACUCAAGUGAUAGUGUUAUGCUUAAUAUCCUAUUUCUCAUUUUUGUAAAGUUUUACACGAUCCAAACUAUCUAGUUGCUUUUGAUUAUAAAUACCUAACGCUUUGCAUAAAAAAUAGUGGUGGUUUUUCAUUGUGCCUUUUCUCUAUAACACAUUCAUAACAUUCUUUGAAGACCUAAUAGCUUGUUCAUGUAUUGAUUCAAUCCACUUACUCUUGAGAUUAUACAACCAUGGAUUGGGGAAAAACAUCAAAUAUAUUGAAUCCAAAACACAUGCUUCCUAAAAACCCUUAGGAAGGUACUUUCUCAAUUGAAAUUCAGAGGCUACUGAAGAUUGAGAGAAGUUAGACUACAAACACAGGAAAAGUACAAGAAUUGGUCAUUCUUGGUGAUCCACUUGGAAGAGACAAUUAUUGAAGAUUGGGAGCUGAUGGUUUUAGCAGGAUCUUGGAGGUUACAGAAAGUAGAUAGGGAAGUCUAGUGGAGUUGGCUAGAUAGCAUCUAACUGCAAUUCAUAUUGUCUAUAGUAGAGGUAACUGGUUUGGUCCUGGAGUUUUAACCCAGUUGGGUUUCUCCAUCAACAUAUCUGGUGUUAUUUACUAUUUUCAUUUUAC